UGGCUCUAGCAUCGAUGAAGAACGCAGCGAAAUGCGAUAAGUAAUGCGAAUUGCAGAAUUCAGUGAAUCAUCGAAUCUUUGAACGCACAUUGCGCCCGCUAGUAUUCUGGCGGGCAUGCCUGUCUGAGCGUCAUUUCAACCCUCGCGCCCGGCUUCUGUCGGGGGCGGUGUUGGGGAUCGGCCGCCCGUAACUGGGAGGCCGGCCCCUAAAUGGAGUGGCGACCACGCCGUAGCCUCCUCUGCGUAGUAGUUCUACCACCUCGCAGGCGGAGAGCGGUGCGGUCCGCCGUAAAACCCCCCAACUCUUCCAAGGUUGACCUCAGAUCAGGUAGGAAUACCCGCUGA
rnacentral:misc_RNA from 1 species